rnacentral:rRNA from 1 species
GAUGAACGCUGGCGGCGUGCCUAAUACAUGCAAGUCGAGCGAACAGACGAGGAGCUUGCUCCUCUGACGUUAGCGGCGGACGGGUGAGUAACACGUGGAUAACCUACCUAUAAGACUGGGAUAACUUCGGGAAACCGGAGCUAAUACCGGAUAAUAUAUUGAACCGCAUGGUUCAAUAGUGAAAGACGGUUUUGCUGUCACUUAUAGAUGGAUCCGCGCCGCAUUAGCUAGUUGGUAAGGUAACGGCUUACCAAGGCAACGAUGCGUAGCCGACCUGAGAGGGUGAUCGGCCACACUGGAACUGAGACACGGUCCAGACUCCUACGGGAGGCAGCAGUAGGGAAUCUUCCGCAAUGGGCGAAAGCUUGACGGAGCAACGCCGCGUGAGUGAUGAAGGUCUUCGGAUCGUGAAACUCUGUUAUUAGGGAAGAACAUAUGUGUAAGUAACUGUGCACAUCUUGACGGUACCUAAUCAGAAAGCCACGGCUAACUACGUG